AGGUGGUGUGUUGUGUGGACCAGUGGGGCCACACCCAUGCCUAUGGGAGUGUGUGGUGGUGGUGGUGGUGGUGGUGUGCGGUGUGUUUCUUUCUUUUUCUUUUCUCUUGAGUUGCCUCCUCCCGACCUUGGCCUGACCUUUCAGCCUUUGCUCCUCGGCACAGCCAGGUGAAGCACACCUUCAGUGGGAACCGGUCUCCCGAGGGUGUCACCAAGGCUCUCCAUCUCCAGCAGGACGUGGCGGGGGUCAAGAUGGCAGGCAAGCAAGGUUGUAUGUUUUCUCUUUUUCACUGUCUUUGUCUGGAGGCCAAGAGGGUUUGCACGUCCCCAUCCUACACGGCCUGUGGCAUCUGCUUAUCUUCGUCACUGCCUACGGGAUGCAGGUCCUUUUCUGCUACUUCCACGCAGCCCAGGACGUCCCCGAAUCCAGGCCAGUGAGGGGAGUCUUGGUCUGCCCUAUGUCUUCUGUCACUCAGCACGCCACGUCAAGAGCCCUUGAGUGUGUAGGCCCACGGAACCCACCCAAGAAGUGACGGGAACCUAACUCAGCCAGCCUGGGUGUCCAGGCUGGGUGUCCUGUGGGGUCUGAUGUAGCUUCCUCUGGCUGGCUUCCCCAAAGGUUCCUGUAGGACCCACUGUGGCGUGUGCUGGUGGGAGCAGUGCUACAGUGGAGGGAUGAGGCUGGAAAGCAGCAUGAGUGAGCAGCAGCAGCAGCAGCAGCAGCAGCAGUCUGCCUCAGGUGUGGUGAGGUCCAGGACUGGUGGCAAGAAUGACCUGGAGGCAAGCAGCUCCACCCACAGAGGAGAGAGAAAGUUUGAGUGUCAACAGUGUGAUAAAACUUUUACAUCCAGAGAAGGGCUUAGACUACACACUCUGAGGCACAGUGGUGUUAGAAAUUAUGAGUGUCUGGAAUGUGGAAAGAAAUUUGCUCAAAAGACUCAUCUCACCACACACACCCUGAGACAUAGUGGUGUUAGAAAGUAUGAGUGUCUGGAGUGUAGAAAGAAAUUUACGAUAAAGUCUGAUCUGAUCACACACACCCUCAUACACAGUGGUGUUAGAAAAUUUGAGUGUCUAGAAUGUGGAAAGAAAUUUAGCAAGAAGUCUCACCUCACCCCACACACCUUGAAACACAGAGAUGUGAGAAAUUAUGAGUGUCUGGAAUGUGGAAAGAAAUUCAUCACGAAGUAUGAUCUCACGAGACACACCCUGAGACACAGUGGUGUUAGAAAUCAUGAGUGUUUGGAAUGUGGAAAGAAACUUUUCACCAAGUCUGAACUCACCACACACACCCUGACACACAGUGGUGUUAGAAAUUAUGAGUGUCUGGAAUGUGGAAAGAAAUUCACCACAAAGAGUAGCCUCACCGCACACACCCUAACACACAGUGGUGUUAGAAAUUUUGAGUGUGAGGAGUGUGGCAAAAAAUUCCUUACCAUCGGUGCUCUCGACAGGCACGCCUUCAGACACACUGGCUUGAGGGAGUUCAAGUGUGAUGUUUGUGGCAAGUGUUUCAAGACUAAGGGUGACAUUGCCCGGCAUGUGAAGAUCCACUUUUGAGGUGGUGUGUUGUGUGGACCAGUGGGGCCACACCCAUGCCUAUGGGAGUGUGUGGUGGUGGUGGUGGUGGUGGUGUGCGGUGUGUUUCUUUCUUUUUCUUUUCUCUUGAGUUGCCUCCUCCCGACCUUGGCCUGACCUUCCAGCCUUUGCUCCUCGGCACAGCCAGGUGAAGCACGCCUUCAGUGGGAACUGGUGUCCCGAGGGUGUCACCAAGGCUCUCCAUCUCCAGCAGGACGUGGCUGGGGUCAAGAUGGCAGGCAAGCAAGGUGUUGGUGUGUGUUGGAUGCCUGUGUGACUCCAUGUUAUGCUGGCCUGCCACACCGCACAGCACCACCACACGCUGUCACAUGUAUGCUGGUGACUGGCACGCUGCAAUAGUGAGCUGGCUGUGUGUGGGAGGGAACCAUGAUUUUUAAUUUUGACAACCAUUGUAGCCUGUCUAGUGUUAAAUAAAAGGUUAAUUUGA
rnacentral:misc_RNA from 1 species